CAAAGUUUAUAAUUUCUAUGUCCAACCAAUGCCACUUCCAAAAUACACAAAUCGUAGAUUCUAUCACUGGAUUCUUAAACCAUUGUUCUCAAAGUAGGAAUCUUAGGGACAUUAAGAAGCUCCACGCUCAUCUACUUAGAACAGGCUUGCUCUUUAUUUCCCUUAAUUUUCAUACUGAACUCAUCCAUUCAUACACCACAUGCCUUCACAGAAACAACCCUCAAACCCUGACCAACUUCUUCAAAUGCAUGAAUCCCAAGAACCCAAUCCCCUUUAAUGUUAUAUUAUCCGGCUUUAGCCGAAAUGGGUUGGCAUUUAAUGCACUAAAAACCUUUUCUUUCAUGCACAUCUAUGGUGUGCCUAUAGAUACAUAUACUUUGUGUAGCUCUUUAACUGCUUCCUCUUCUAUCAGAAAUGUUAAAUUUGGUCAGCAGGUACAUGCCCUUGUGGCUAAAUCCGGUUGGUCAUCCAGUGUUUUUGUGGGAAGUGCUCUGGUUGAUUUGUAUUCAAAGUCGUUGGUUAUUGAUGAUGCAGAAGGGGUGUUUGAUGAAAUUCCUGAGAAAAACAGUGUGUGCGCUAAUGCACUGUUGUCAGGUUAUGGGGAGGCCAAGAUGUGGCUUGAGGGACUUAAACUGGUUCGUAAGAUGCCCAUGUUGAAUUUGGAGUAUGAUCACUUCACAUUGUCAGCAAUAUUGCGGGCAUGCGCUGGACUAUCUGCAAUUGAAUUCGGGAUGCAGGUGCACGCCUAUUUGAUUCGUAGAAUAUAUGAUGUGGGAAAGGAUGUGUUUCUUCAGAGUUCAUUGAUUGAAAUGUACGGAAAGUGUGGCCUAGUAGGGAAGGCUUGGCAAGUCUUUAAUUUGGCAGGAAUUGGGAAAGGAAAAGAGCAUCAAAGGGAUGUUGUUUUAUGGACUUCAAUGCUUGGUGUAUAUGGUAGAACUGGACACAAUGAAGAAGUUGUUAGAUUAUACCAAGAGAUGUUAAAGGAAGGGAUUAAACCAGAUGAGGUGGCAUUUGUGACAGUCCUAUCUGCUUGUGAUCACACUGGCCAAGUGAACCUUGGAGUUGAGUUAUUCAAAUCCAUGACUCAUGACUUCGGGUUGGACCCUGGCCCUGAGCAUUACAGUUGUCUGAUUGACUUGCUUUGUAGGGCUGGUCAGUUGGAUAGGGCAUUGAGGCUGGUGAAUGAGAUGGUCCAUAAAGGACAUGGAAGUUGCAGCGUUUCCAUGUGGGGGGCUUUGCUUAGCGCCUGCAAGGAUUGCGGAAAUAUAGAGUUGGGCAAGUUGGCUGCUCAAAGGGCAAUUGACUUGGAUCCUCAGAAUGUGGGGGUUUAUAUUAUGUUAUCAAAUUUAUAUGCCAAGUUGGGUAUGUGGAAUGAGAUUGAGCAGUUGAGGGAACUGAUGAAAGAGAGAGGGUUAAAGAAAGAUGUUGGAUGUAGUUGGAUUUAGGUCACAUGAUUCUGAAAGAGAAACAUAUGGAGCAUUUGAGGUUUCCUUGUUAAGAGAUACCAUGAUACUGCCUUUAAACUCAAAUUGUGAUGUUGCAAGUAGUCAA